rnacentral:lncRNA from 1 species
AGGGGGAUAAUCCCUUUAGUGACAGGGACCUAAUAAAAAAAGCUGGUUGACGGGUGCUCACUGCCCGAAGUCGUCCAGAGGAUCGUCCGCGUCGAUCCUGCACAACGAGUCUGGGACUCGCUGGGGCCUUCCUCGAGGUAAGCAGAUUCAUCUUCCUUUCUUCCUUUCGCUUCUUCAUUUAAUUAACUUCUCAGCUUCCAUUCUGACCUUCCGAUCGUCCUUGCAGCUCAAACACCAACUCCUCGCCAACAUCGAGACGACAAACA